AGCUGCAACUCUGAAGAACCCUAGUUCAGAAUAAUUUCAAACCCUUUUAACCAGAUCAAUCAUAGGACCACCAUCAGUCUCUUCACUUCUCAAGACCCCAUCUCAGAUUCAAAAGCAAACCCUAGUCUCUUCUUCAAAUAACUUCUUCUUAAUCAAGAGCAUAAAGUCAUCAGAAUCAGCUUCAGAUCCCCUUUCACAAAAUCGAUUGAACCACAGCAACCCUAGUUCGAUCAAAAGUUGGAAGCUGAGAUUUUAGGUCAUUUGUGAGAUUUGGAAGCAUCGAUAUGAUAAUCAGUAAGAGGGGGGUGAACAACAAAGUUCUCAAAGUUCCUGGAGUAGAACAUAAGGUUCUUGAUGCGACAAGCAGUGAACCAUGGGGUCCUCAUGGGUGAAAUUUGUCAGAUAUUGCACAAGCUACGAAAAACUAUCAUGAAUAUCAAACGGUAAUGGCUGUGCUUUGGAAGCGAAUCAAUGAUACUGGCAAAAAUUGGCGCCACGUGUACAAGGCAUUGACUGUUCUUGAAUACCUGGUAGGACAUGGGUCUGAACGUGUUAUAGAUGAAAUCAAAGAACAUGCAUACCAAAUUUCGACAUUAUCUGGUUUUCAAUAUAUCGAUUCCAGUGGGAGGGACCAGGGAAGUAAUGUCAGAAAGAAAUCUCAGUCUUUGGUGGCACUAGUGAACCGACAAUAUUAAUAUAAUCAGUUUUUCUUUUAUGUAUGUGUGUGGUUUGGGUUCUGUUAUAUUUUAUUGCGCAUGUAACUGCAGUGCAGGUCAGUUGAAGCGCUAGUAGCCACCCGGGGGGAUAUCAAUCCCUGGUAAGUACACUUCUUUUUCUUAUGCUUAUCAUAUUGAGUUCAAAUGGAUAUUAAUUUUCAAUAUAUAAUCGCUUUUGAGGUAAUAUGUUGUUCGUGAUGUCGCUACGGUGAGAUUAUGUUGUUGCUGACCUUUCUCCGUUUCAGUACGUCAAUUAACAACAAAAGAUGACGGUAGAUUCAGGAAUCGGCAAAAGCUUAUGUCAUGUGCUGUCUGGGUCCUCAUUCUGCACCUACCUGUGAAUUUCCAAUUCCCUUUGUUGUCCUUCAACAUGAUGCAGAUACACUCACAAUAGCAGUAGUUUUUGAAUGUUCAUGAUCAACAACUACUCUGAAACGAAGGUAUUUGGCCUUAAGUCAAAAAGAAAUACUCUGGUGAUAUUUUAGCAGCAGCUGAAUCUACGUAUGAUUUGCUGAGGAAAUUAAUUAAGCAAGCGGAGUCUCGUGAUACUUCUGGUGAUAUUUUAGUCUUUCUUUCUCUGUUUUUAAAUGCCACUGUCAGUUGACACAAACUAGAUUACCCAUCCCUUUAUGAACAACAACAUACAUCGAAUAUUGUAUGUCAGUCACAAAAUUUUGGGUUCAGUAAGUUUACUUGUGAAGAAUCAUCUUUUAUAAUAUUAUCUAGUGGUGAUUCUCAACAAGAUUCUUAACAAUACAGUUUUGUAUCUCCAUUG